rnacentral:misc_RNA from 1 species
UACGGGGGGGGCAGCAGUGGGGAAUUUUUGGACAAUGGAAACCUGAUCCAGCCAUCCCGCGCGUGCGAUGAAGGCCUUCGGGUUGUAAAGCACUUUUGGCAGGAAAAGCGGCGCAGGAUAAUACCCGUGCAACUGACGUACCUGCAGAAUAAACACCGGCUAACUACGUGCCAGCAGCCGCGGUAAUGCGUGAGGUGCAAGCGUUGUCGGAAUUACCGGGCGUAAAGCGUGCGCAGGCGGUUCGGAAAAGAAAGAUGUGAAAUCGGAAGCAACUUUGGAACUGUAUUUUAACUACCGAGCUAGAGUGUGUCAGAGAGGUGGAAUUCCGCAUUAACAGUGAAAUGCGUAGAUAUGCGGAGGAACACCGAUGGCGAAGGCAGCCUCCUGGGAUAACGCUGACGCUCAUGCACGAAAGCGUGGGGAGCAAACGGGAUUAGAUACCCGCGUAG